rnacentral:sRNA from 1 species
CGUAACGAUGGCCACACUGUCUCCUCCUGAGACUC